rnacentral:rRNA from 1 species
UACAGAGGUGGCAAGCGUUGUUCGGAAUUACUGGGCGUAAAGGGCGCGUAGGCGGCCACCUAAGUCAGAUGUGAAAUCCCCCGGCUUAACCUGGGAACUGCGUCUGAUACUGGACGGCUUGAGUAUGGGAGAGGGAUGUAGAAUUCCAGGUGUAGCGGUGAAAUGCGUAGAUAUCUGGAGGAAUACCGGUGGCGAAGGCGGCAUCCUGGGCCAUUACUGACGCUGAGGCGCGAAAGCUAGGGGAGCAAACGGG